rnacentral:rRNA from 2 species
GGUCGGUUCGGCCGGAUUUUACACAAGUGUUGCAUGGCUGUCGUCAGCUCGUGUCGUGAGAUGUUGGGUUAAGUCCCGCAACGAGCGCAACCCUCAUCCUUAGUUGCUAUCAGGUAAUGCUGAGUACUUUAAGGAAACUGCCAGUGAUAAGCUGGAGGAAGGUGGGGAUGAUGUCAAGUCAUCAUGGCCUUUAUGGAGUGGGCUACACACGUGCUACAAUGGUGUCUACAAUGGGCUGCAAGGUGCGCAAGCCUAAGCUAAUCCCUAAAAGACAUCUCAGUUCGGAUUGUACUCUGCAACUCGAGUACAUGAAGUUGGAAUCGCUAGUAAUCGUGGAUCAGCAUGCCACGGUGAAUACGUUCUCGGGUCUUGUACACACUGCCCGUCACGCCAUGG